AAGAGUAAGGGUGCUCAGCGCCCGACCUCCAACCCUUUGUUGUUAAAACUACCUUGUUGCUUUGGCGGGACCGCUCGGUCUCGAGCCGCAGGGGCUUCGGCCCAGGCGAGCGCCCGCCAGAGUUAAACCAAACUCUUGUUUUUAACCGGUCGUCUGAGUAAAAUUUUGAAUAAAUCA
rnacentral:misc_RNA from 1 species